CACGAAUUUUUUUUCAAGACUAUAUUUGUACUUCGCUGUUUGCUUGCACGAAUUUUUUUUCUCUGACGUAAUGGGUGCACGAAUUUUUUUUCCAGGCAUUUUCCUUUGCACGAAUUUUUUUUUUUGAAUUUUCACCCCCCCUCCCGGGAUUUCUAAUGGUCCGCCCCUUAUGUUAAUAAUCAAAAUGUUCUAAUUUAUGCGUGUACUUGUUUAUGCAUAAAUUAGAACAUUUUGGUUAACAUACAGCCAGUUACAGACGAGCAAGUUUUCUAUAUAUGACAAGUAUUUUUAUGUGGCAAGUUUUAUUUGCUCGUCUGUAUGCGCAACUUUGAUAAUUUUUACUGUGACAAGUACCCUUGUUCAAAAGCUAGCAUACUAGCAACUUGUCUUAUAAUAAAAACUUGUGCUAGAAAACUUGCUCGUCUGUAUUAAAACCGGCUUUAAACACUUUCUAUUUUCAUCAAUUUGUUGUUGCACUAGUGACUAGAAUACAUUAAAACUCGGUUCCUUUCCGGCAACGGCGAUGAUGAAAGACUUAAAUUGUCGUCCAAAAUCAGUGUGUUACAGCAUUUUUUUGUAUUUGUAUUCACCAAAAUACUGUAUUAUAAUCAGUUGAUCAUGGCAAUGAAUACUUAUUUAAUUUAGAAUGGGUUCCGGGUCUUUUUGGAACACCC